rnacentral:rRNA from 1 species
AUACGGAGGGUGCAAGCGUUAUCCGGAUUCAUUGGGUUUAAAGGGUUCGCAGGCGGCGUAUUAAGUCAGUGGUGAAAUCCCGAGGCUCAACCUCGGAACUGCCAUUGAUACUGGUAUGCUAGAGUAUAGUUGGCGUUGGCGGAAUGUAUCAUGUAGAGGUGAAAUGCUUAGAUAUGAUACAGAACACCGAUCGCGAAGGCAGCUAACGAAACUAUAACUGACGCUCAGGAACGAAAGCGUGGGGAGCGAACAGGAUUAGAAACCCCGGUAGUCC